CAUCCCCCACCCGACUGACUUUUCAAAAUUUCAACCAACUCCCUGCCACUGGUGGUGACUUCAACCGUCACUUUUCUGUCAUGCAUCUGACUGCAAGCUGUACAAACUCUGCCGUCAUCAUAUCCAAGGCAGUGAGUUGUGAGGACUGCUUCCCUGAGAACACUGAGUGCAUUCUGGAAUAUUCUGGAAUAUAAAGUGUGCCACUUCCAUACAAAAAAAGUUCCAAUCACUCACCAGUGGGCUCCAUCAACAGACCAGGGCAAAGUCGGUCUGUCCUGCUACUACUACACGCUACUUGACUAUGUCUGGAAGCCAUGGCUGCUGCCCUCAACAUGCUGUGUUUGUGUGUUUUGAAUGAGGGCUAUGGGAUAUGUCACUAUGCACACUCUACACAUAAUGUAUAGCAAUUGCUGUUUUAUUUUUUUAGGUGCCAUCCAGCCAGUCCCAGCCUGCAGCCAGAGGCUGGCACUGCACGUCAGAUGGGGGAGGAUCGGCAUCAGAAAGGUGGUUUAAGCAAGAAGGCAAGAGCUUCUGCAGACAGUGUUGCAAUUAGACACCUGACUUUUACUGCCAAAGGGACCAUCAGAGCACCUCUCCCUACCCUGCCGGACAUCUAUACCAGAAGAGUACAAACAAGGGCCCAAAAUGUUUUAAAGGACAUUUCACGCCCAGACCAUGGACUGUUUAAACCACUGAGGUCAAACAGAAGUCUCUGUUCUCACUCGAGGCAGGUCAUUGAGAGGGGGCGAGUGUCACUGUGGAAGCCCCCUACUGCAGGCGAGAAAGCCAUCUUGAUUUGAAUAUUGAUUGAUAAAUACAAUUUGUUACAUGGCCUUUAUUGUAUUGCCUGUCGUAUAUGAAUUUCCAUGGUAAAGUAAAAUAAGUCAUUGGGAUUUAGCAGGUGUAAUUCAAAGUAAAUAAUGUAAUUAAGUGUAUGUAAAAUUAAUAUGAAAUAUUAUUUUAGUUAAAGUUGCACAAUAAGCUUCUCACGUUUAAAACCAUUACAUAAAUCACAUGAUUAAUUUUAAAAAUGAAAAACAUUAAAUAUAUGAUAUAAGUAAUAAAUGCAUAUAGCCUAUGGAAAAGCAAAUAAAGGCAUACACAUAAAUGCCUGCGAAAUUAGCUGUGCCUGGCAGUAUAUGGGCUAUAUGCGUAGUCCCAUGUUUGACAUAUCAGAGGGUAUAUGGGAACAAGAACAAGAGGUCAUAUACUUGAAACAUUGAUUAUAUCAGGUGAGAAUAUGAAGUCUGGAUAUCUUGCAUGUCGUCGCAGUCCCAUUCAGGACUUUUGUUAUGCUCCUGAUAUGGUAAUUGGCACUAAAAUAUCAGGAGCAUAUCAACCAAUAUAUUUCCUGAUAUUACACAUAUCAGGAAAUAUAUCACUAUGAAUAUUCCCUGAUUCAGAGCCUUUUCACCCAGUGUAAUAAUAAAAUAUGUUCGCAAUGGAUGCAGGCCUAUUUACUGUAUGAAGUUUACUUUAAUUGGUAUCAGAACUAUGGUGGUAAUUAGCCUAGGCUAUUUAGUAAUGUCAUUAAAGCGUUCAAAUUGGCAAUCACUUUUGAUAAUUAAAAGCUGGCAAAGAAUUUGCCUCUAAAUAAGAUCUAUAAAUGGAUAAACAUGGUGGUGUCCAGUAAGCGACCAACGUGUCCUUGUAUUGAAUCAAAGACGGCGCCGGCCGCGGAGCCGUGUAGUCCAUGUCGCUCUAUAACUCUUUUUUGUUGCUGUUGCCCAAGUUAUUCCGAACGCUGGAAAACAGUGUCACCUUGUGCAGCAAAACUUCCAGUUCCUCUGACAAGAAGCUUGGUGCCCAUUUUUUACGUUGCUUCCCCACCAUACUGUAUCUAACUCUCUCUCUGUUCAUUGUAGAUAGGUUGCUUUUUAUUGAAAACAUUAAAGGUACACUAUGCAGGUUUUUUAGCUUAAUAUGCAAGUUUUUUAGCUUAAUUUACCUUCAUUUAACAGCUUCAGAGUCAUUGGAAUGGUUAUAUGACUUUUUUCGGGUUGACUGGACAAGAAUGUAAUCUGGAAUAAUAAAGUGUAUCCUACACGA